rnacentral:misc_RNA from 1 species
AGAUUAGCAGGAAGUAAGCGAAGUAAUUCAGAUUCAGGCUUCACAGGAUCUACUAGGGAUGGGAUUCAACAAAUAGGCCAUGACUCGCUUGAGAGCCUGCAUUUGAUGAAGAUGCUGAAGAAUGGCGGUGGAGGAGAGCGACCUAGAAGGUCCAAUGAUGAUGAAGUUUUCUACAGUAUGCAACCAAUGAGACCAACUUCUGCAUCUCUCAUUUUGCAAUCUUCUACUGGUGGUAGACUUGAUGCCAAUGUUUCCAAGUGGGAGCGAUCUAUACCCAUGGGAGCAGCCAUACAGUAUCCUCGUGCCGGUCAGUUUGUUCCUUUCAUGCAUCAAGUUCCUGCAAACAAAUUAAGGGAUGUCAAUGCUAGUCCAUCAAUCAUCUCUCAAUCAGCUGCUGAUGAAGGAUCUAGAACUGGAAUUAAAGGCCCUGGAAUUUUGAGUUCUAUCAAUGCUAGCAGUGUCAUAUCAGAGAAAAAUUCAUCGGGGACUCUUCCAAGCGGCAGCAAACCUAAGUCUGGAACUCAUAUUUCAGAGCCAGAAUAUUCAAUUCCUUCAGGUCGACAGGGUUUAACAUCAGCUAGUCGUCAGAUGACUAUAUUUUAUGGCGGUCAAGCUCAUGUUUUUGAUGAUGUGCACCCAAACAAGUCAGAUGUUAUAAUGGCCUUAGCGGGAUCAAAUGGAGGAUCAUGGUCGACGUCGUACUCGCCAAAACCA